rnacentral:rRNA from 1 species
GGGUUGUGAGGUUAAGCGACUAAGCGUACACGGUGGAUGCCCUGGCAGUCAGAGGCGAUGAAGGACGUGCUAAUCUGCGAUAAGCGUCGGUAAGGUGAUAUGAACCGUUAUAACCGGCGAUUUCCGAAUGGGGAAACCCAGUGUGUUUCGACACACUAUCAUUAACUGAAUCCAUAGGUUAAUGAGGCGAACCGGGGGAACUGAAACAUCUAAGUACCCCGAGGAAAAGAAAUCAACCGAGAUUCCCCCAGUAGCGGCGAGCGAACGGGGAGCAGCCCAGAGCCUGAAUCAGUGUGUGUGUUAGUGGAAGCGUCUGGAAAGGCGCGCGAUACAGGGUGACAGCCCCGUACACAAAAAUGCACAUGCUGUGAGCUCGAUGAGUAGGGCGGGACACGUGGUAUCCUGUCUGAAUAUGGGGGGACCAUCCUCCAAGGCUAAAUACUCCUGACUGACCGAUAGUGAACCAGUACCGUGAGGGAAAGGCGAAAAGAACCCCGGCGAGGGGAGUGAAAAAGAACCUGAAACCGUGUACGUACAAGCAGUGGGAGCCUCUUUUAUGGGGUGACUGCGUACCUUUUGUAUAAUGGGUCAGCGACUUAUAUUCUGUAGCAAGGUUAACCGAAUAGGGGAGCCGAAGGGAAACCGAGUCUUAACUGGGCGUUAAGUUGCAGGGUAUAGACCCGAAACCCGGUGAUCUAGCCAUGGGCAGGUUGAAGGUUGGGUAACACUAACUGGAGGACCGAACCGACUAAUGUUGAAAAAUUAGCGGAUGACUUGUGGCUGGGGGUGAAAGGCCAAUCAAACCGGGAGAUAGCUGGUUCUCCCCGAAAGCUAUUUAGGUAGCGCCUCGUGAAUUCAUCUCCGGGGGUAGAGCACUGUUUCGGCAAGGGGGUCAUCCCGACUUACCAACCCGAUGCAAACUGCGAAUACCGGAGAAUGUUAUCACGGGAGACACACGGCGGGUGCUAACGUCCGUCGUGAAGAGGGAAACAACCCAGACCGCCAGCUAAGGUCCCAAAGUCAUGGUUAAGUGGGAAACGAUGUGGGAAGGCCCAGACAGCCAGGAUGUUGGCUUAGAAGCAGCCAUCAUUUAAAGAAAGCGUAAUAGCUCACUGGUCGAGUCGGCCUGCGCGGAAGAUGUAACGGGGCUAAACCAUGCACCGAAGCUGCGGCAGCGACGCUUAUGCGUUGUUGGGUAGGGGAGCGUUCUGUAAGCCUGUGAAGGUGUGCUGUGAGGCAUGCUGGAGGUAUCAGAAGUGCGAAUGCUGACAUAAGUAACGAUAAAGCGGGUGAAAAGCCCGCUCGCCGGAAGACCAAGGGUUCCUGUCCAACGUUAAUCGGGGCAGGGUGAGUCGACCCCUAAGGCGAGGCCGAAAGGCGUAGUCGAUGGGAAACAGGUUAAUAUUCCUGUACUUGGUGUUACUGCGAAGGGGGGACGGAGAAGGCUAUGUUGGCCGGGCGACGGUUGUCCCGGUUUAAGCGUGUAGGCUGGUUUUCCAGGCAAAUCCGGAAAAUCAAGGCUGAGGCGUGAUGACGAGGCACUACGGUGCUGAAGCAACAAAUGCCCUGCUUCCAGGAAAAGCCUCUAAGCAUCAGGUAACAUCAAAUCGUACCCCAAACCGACACAGGUGGUCAGGUAGAGAAUACCAAGGCGCUUGAGAGAACUCGGGUGAAGGAACUAGGCAAAAUGGUGCCGUAACUUCGGGAGAAGGCACGCUGAUAUGUAGGUGAAGUCCCUCGCGGAUGGAGCUGAAAUCAGUCGAAGAUACCAGCUGGCUGCAACUGUUUAUUAAAAACACAGCACUGUGCAAACACGAAAGUGGACGUAUACGGUGUGACGCCUGCCCGGUGCCGGAAGGUUAAUUGAUGGGGUCAGCGCAAGCGAAGCUCUUGAUCGAAGCCCCGGUAAACGGCGGCCGUAACUAUAACGGUCCUAAGGUAGCGAAAUUCCUUGUCGGGUAAGUUCCGACCUGCACGAAUGGCGUAAUGAUGGCCAGGCUGUCUCCACCCGAGACUCAGUGAAAUUGAACUCGCUGUGAAGAUGCAGUGUACCCGCGGCAAGACGGAAAGACCCCGUGAACCUUUACUAUAGCUUGACACUGAACAUUGAGCCUUGAUGUGUAGGAUAGGUGGGAGGCUUUGAAGUGUGGACGCCAGUCUGCAUGGAGCCGACCUUGAAAUACCACCCUUUAAUGUUUGAUGUUCUAACGUGGACCCGUGAUCCGGGUUGCGGACAGUGUCUGGUGGGUAGUUUGACUGGGGCGGUCUCCUCCUAAAGAGUAACGGAGGAGCACGAAGGUUGGCUAAUCCUGGUCGGACAUCAGGAGGUUAGUGCAAUGGCAUAAGCCAGCUUGACUGCGAGCGUGACGGCGCGAGCAGGUGCGAAAGCAGGUCAUAGUGAUCCGGUGGUUCUGAAUGGAAGGGCCAUCGCUCAACGGAUAAAAGGUACUCCGGGGAUAACAGGCUGAUACCGCCCAAGAGUUCAUAUCGACGGCGGUGUUUGGCACCUCGAUGUCGGCUCAUCACAUCCUGGGGCUGAAGUAGGUCCCAAGGGUAUGGCUGUUCGCCAUUUAAAGUGGUACGCGAGCUGGGUUUAGAACGUCGUGAGACAGUUCGGUCCCUAUCUGCCGUGGGCGCUGGAGAACUGAGGGGGGCUGCUCCUAGUACGAGAGGACCGGAGUGGACGCAUCACUGGUGUUCGGGUUGUCAUGCCAAUGGCACUGCCCGGUAGCUAAAUGCGGAAGAGAUAAGUGCUGAAAGCAUCUAAGCACGAAACUUGCCCCGAGAUGAGUUCUCCCUGACUCCUUGAGAGUCCUGAAGGAACGUUGAAGACGACGACGUUGAUAGGCCGGGUGUGUAAGCGCAGCGAUGCGUUGAGCUAACCGGUACUAAUGAACCGUGAGGCUUAACCUUACAACGCCGAAGGUGUUU